UACAGAGGGUGCAAGCGUUAAUCGGAGUUACUGGGCGUAAAGGGCGCGUAGGUUGUUGUUUAAGUUUGAUGUGAAAGCCCUGGGCUUAACCUAGGAACUGCAUUGAAUACUGGGCGACUAGAGUACUGUAGAGGGUAGUGGAAUUUCCGGUGUAGCGGUGAAAUGCGUAGAGAUCGGAAGGAACACCAGUGGCGAAGGCGGCUACCUGGACAGAUACUGACACUGAGGCGCGAGAGCGUGGGGAGCAAACAGG
rnacentral:rRNA from 1 species